AGUCUUUGGGGCAGGGUGCAAUUCCUUACCGGCGGUAUAGCCCGCGAGCCUUACGGGGCAUGACCUGGUGCGACUCCAGGGCCGACAGUAUAGUCUGGAUGAGAAAAGAC
rnacentral:ncRNA from 1 species